rnacentral:lncRNA from 12 species
UAAAGGAAUAAGCGUUUCGAGGUAGUAGCGAAAGCCUUUUUAGUGAAGGGUUAUUCUGCUGACCAUCUGUUAGGAAGAGAAAAAAAGUGAAGUAUGAGUUAUCCUUGGACUCUGAGAACUUCAGUAGGAACAUUUUAUAGCCUAUGGCUGC